GUCACUGGGGAGAAGGGAGGUUGGCCUCAGCCACUAGAAGUCUUGGCUGUUUUGGUCUUCUGGGUGACUGGUAUGGACACAGAGUGAUGUAACCAGCUUGCCCCUGACAGAUCCGGAAGAUGAAGCUUCCUGGUCGGGAGAACAAAACUGCUGUGGUUGUGGGGACGAUCACAGAUGAUGUGCGGAUUCUGGAAGUGCCCAAGCUGAAGGUGUACCGACACUUUGGCAAGGCCCCAGGAACUCCACACAGCCACACCAAACCCUAUGUCCGUUCCAAGGGCCGGAAGUUCGAGCGUGCCAGAGGCCGAAGGGCCAGCCGAGGCUACAAAAACUAACCCUGGCUCUUACUGUUAAUAAAAAAGCUUUGGAUGU
rnacentral:lncRNA from 1 species